rnacentral:rRNA from 1 species
GACGAACCGUGCGAACGUUGUUCGGAAUCACUGGGCUUAAAGGGCGCGUAGGCGGGCUGGCAAGUCAGGGGUGAAAGCCCACGGCUCAACCGUGGAAGUGCCUCUGAUACUGCCGGCCUGGAGGGGGGUAGGGGGAGCCGGAACUCACGGUGGAGCGGUGAAAUGCGUUGAGAUCGUGAGGAACGCCCGCGGCGAAAGCGGGCUCCUGGGCCCCGCCUGACGCUGAGACGCGAAAGCCAGGGGAGCGAACGGG